ACAAUUAGCUGUUGGGACACUAGAUGUUUUAGUAGCGAAGCUAGCGCGUGAAAUUGUCCGCCUGGAGAGUACGGUCGCAAGAUUAAAACUCAAAGGAAUUGACGGGGACCCGCACAAGCGGUGGAUGAUGUGGAUUAAUUCGAUGCAACGCGAAGAACCUUACCUGGUCUUGACAUGUACGGAAUCUCUUAGAGAUAGGAGAGUGCCUUCGGGAACCGUAACACAGGUGCUGCAUGGCUGUCGUCAGCUCGUGUCGUGAGAUGUUGGGUUAAGUCCCGCAGCGAGCGCAACCCUUGUCAUUAGUUGCCAUCAUUAAGUUGGGCACUCUAAUGAGACUGCCGGUGACAAACCGGAGGAAGGUGGGGAUGACGUCAAGUCCUCAUGGCCCUUAUGACCAGGGCUUCACACGUCAUACAAUGGUCGGUACAGAGGGUAGCGAAGCCGCGAGGUGAAGCCAAUCUCAGAAAGCCGAUCGUAGUCCGGAUUGCACUCUGCAACUCGAGUGCAUGAAGUCGGAAUCGCUAGUAAUCGCAGGUCAGCAUACUGCGGUGAAUACGUUCCCGGGUCU
rnacentral:rRNA from 1 species